AGAGUUUGAUCAUGGCUCAGAACGUACGCUGGCGGCACGCCUAACACAUGCAAGUCGAACGAAGUAGCAAUACUUAGUGGCAGACGGGUGAGUAACAUGUAGGUAUCUGCCCUUUGGCCUGGAAUAACACGAGGAAACUUGUGCUAAUACCGGAUAAGUCUUUACGGAGAAAGCUUUAUGCACCAUUGGAUGAGCCUGCACUUGAUUAGUUUGUUGGUGGGGUAAUGGCCUACCAAGACUGUGAUCAAUAGCUGAUUUGAGAGGAUGAUCAGCCACAUUGGGACUGAGACACGGCCCAAACUCCUACGGGAGGCAGCAGUGGGGAAUCUUGCACAAUGGAGGAAACUCUGAUGCAGCGAUGCCGCGUGAGUGAAGAAGGCCUUUGGGUUGUAAAGCUCUUUCGUCGGGGAAGAAAAUGACUGUACCCGAAUAAGAAGGUCCGGCUAACUUCGUGCCAGCAGCCGCGGUAAUACGAAGGGACCUAGCGUAGUUCGGAAUUACUGGGCUUAAAGAGUUCGUAGGUGGUUGAAAAAGUUGGUGGUGAAAUCCCAGAGCUUAACUCUGGAACUGCCAUCAAAACUUUUCAGCUAGAGUUUGAUAGAGGAAAGCAGAAUUUCUAGUGUAGAGGUGAAAUUCGUAGAUAUUAGAAAGAAUACCAAUUGCGAAGGCAGCUUUCUGGAUCAUUACUGACACUGAGGAACGAAAGCAUGGGUAGCGAAGAGGAUUAGAUACCCUCGUAGUCCAUGCCGUAAACGAUGUGUGUUAGACGUUGGAAAUUUAUUUUCAGUGUCGCAGCGAAAGCGAUAAACACACCGCCUGGGGAGUACGACCGCAAGGUUAAAACUCAAAUGAAUUGACGGGACCCGCACAAGUAGUGGAGCAUGUGGUUU
rnacentral:rRNA from 1 species